ACGGAAUCUUACCUGACAUUGAGGUGUGAGCCCAGAUGAGCACGGGGACAAAGGGUCAGGAGAGGAUGCUGUGGCAGACUCAGGGUGGGGACCCAAACCAGGGCCUAUAAGAAGCAAUUAGAGCAAGGGGCUCAUGUCCCAAGUCAGGGGGACCUGGGUUUGAGAUCUACUGGCAAACAGGGUGUCUUCCAGGGCUGGCAUUAACACUGGCUACAGUGGGGCCUGGGGGGCUGGAUCUGCCAGAGGUGGGUGAAUGUAGCCCUGUCACCUGCUAACGCUACACCCUGGACAGCUUCCAUUACAUGGUACAGCCUCACACCCAGCUUCUCCUGUAAGAGUGGCCUCUGGGAAUGAGGGAACAGGACAGAGUUUGUUGAUCUUUGGAGAAGAGCCAUCUUCAUAAAAUAAAUGGGCUUGGUGUGUUUUUACACGGAGACCACUGUCUUACUGUGCCAGGUGCUGCUCAUUUCUCCUUGAUUCUCCAACAAACAUUUGCUGAGUGGCCAGUACUUGACCAGAGAAGGCAAUGGCAACCCAUUCCAGCACUCUUUCCUGGAAAAUCCCAGGGAUGGGGGAGCCUGGUGGGCUGCCGUCUAUGGGGUCACACGAGUCGGACACGACUGAAGCGACUUAGCAGCAGCAACAGCAGCAGCAGUACUUGACAGGUGCCAGGGCAACAGAUGUCAUGUGUCUGCACCCAGGAGCUGCCAGACAAGAACUCAGACAAUUAUUUCUCUUUCUCACAGCCAUGCCCUGCACAGACCACAGUGAUUGUCUCCUGCUGUGAAUGCCAAGAAGACAGGAUAAGCCAGAUGGAGGGAAAAUUGGAUGUUUUUUAUCACUUUCUUCAGCGCUGCAGCCUGGUGCCAUUGAUGCGGUAUCCAACCAGAGACAUGGUAAGCAGGACACAGGGGUGCUCUCCAUGGGCUGGGGUCUUGGUUUUGCCCUUGAAAAUUGUUCCCUGGGACUGUGAAUCAGAGAACCCUGUCCCAGCAUCUGCUGAGAGAAAUGCCCAAGAUGUAGAAAGACCUGGAGGUCAUGAGCCUUCAGAUGAUUCUUCACAGGACACCCAAGCAUUUCCCCUGCAUCCUCAUCAAGGAUAUCAGGUCUGUUCUCCAGAACAAUGCCAAGAACUUCCAAUCCUGAGUAAAAAGGGCUGUGAGGUGUAUUUGCCUCCGUCCGUCAUCCCUCCCGACUACUU
rnacentral:lncRNA from 1 species